AGUGAAUAGAUACCCUGGUAGUCCCAGCUGUAAACGAUGCGCGUUAGGUGUAUCGGUGACCACGAGUCACCGAGGUGCCGAAGAGAAAUCGUGAAACGUGCCGCCUGGGAAGUACGGUCGCAAGGCUGAAACUUAAAGGAAUUGGCGGGGGAGCACCACAACAGGUGGAGCCUGCGGUUUAAUCGGACUCAACGCCGGGAAGCUCACCGGAUAAGACAGCUGAAUGAUAGCCGGGUUGAAGACUCUGCUUGACUAGCUGAGAGGAGGUGCAUGGCCGUCGUCAGUUCGUACUGUGAAGCAUCCUGUUAAGUCAGGCGACGAGCGAGACCCACGCCAACAGUUGCCAGCAUGUCCUCCGGGAUGGUGGGGACACUGUUGGGACCGCCUCUGCUAAAGAGGAGGGAGGAAUGGGCAACGGUAGGUCAGCAUGCCCCGAAUUAUCCGGGCUACACGCGGGCUACAAUGGUCAGGACAAUGGGUAUCAACACCGAAAGGUGAAGGCAAUCUCCUAAACCUGUCCUUAGUUCGGAUU
rnacentral:rRNA from 1 species